AAGCAACCCAGAGCCCUCCUCCCGCCUGCUCUGUGUAGGAGACAGCCUGCGGAGCCCACUGCCGGCGCGCAGAGAGCCCAGCAGCUCUUGAGUCCAGGAAGCAAGGGUGGGAGGAGGGACGAGCCAGUGGCAAUGACCCAGACCCGGACGACCCCCAUUGCUGAGCCAGCGGAGCUGCUUGGAGGCAGAGGUUGCAGUGAGCUGAGAUUUUGCGACUACACUCCAACCUGGGCAACAGAGCGGGACUCCAUUCCAAAAAAAUAAGAAAAACAGAAAAAUAAUAAUUACAUCUGCAAAGACCUUAUUUCCAGGAAUACUAGCUAGUGGGCUGUGCUGAAGUUUGCUGCUGCUGCUGGAGCCACAUGUAUUGCUGGUCACUUCACUUCUGGAACCUUUGCUAACCAGAUCCAAUCAUCUUCUGCCACCCACAUCUUCUGGUGGUUACUGAUUCUAGGGCUAACUAUCAGCCUCUCUCAGGGGCUUCUUAUGGUAACCUACCUACCUACCACUGCUGUAUGUAACAGAUUCUCCUCUGAGCUAUGUGGAUAUUGUCAUCCCAUGCAACAACAAGGAAGCUCAAUCACUGAGUCUAAUGUAGUGGAUGCUGGCCCAGGAAGCUCUGUGCAUGUGUUGCACCAUCUCCCAUGAUCAUGCCUGAUCUCUACUUCUAUAGAGAUCCUGAAGAGAUUGAAAAGGAAGAGUAGGCUGCAGCUGAAAAAGGAGGAAUUUCAAAGUGAAUGGACUGCUGUAGUGCAAGUUUACUGCUACUCAAUCUGAGGUUGCAGACUGGUUUAAAGACAUGCAGGUGCCCUCUGUGCCUAUUCAGCAGUUCCCUACUGAAGAUUGGAGCACUUAGCCUACCAUGAAUGACUGGUCUGCAACUUCCACUGCUCAGACCACUGAAUGGGUAAGAAUAACCACUGAGUGGCCUUAAGCUGUUCUUCCACAAGCUCUUAAACAAGAUGGAAAUAACGCUGAUGGAAAUAAACAACAGUUUCCAAGAAAACACGAACAGCUGAAGUGGCAAUGUUUAAGUAACAUCUGGUAGACUUUAACAUGAAUGUUAUUAAGCAGGAAAUUAUGAUCUUUUAAGUUGGAACAUGUAAUGUUAAUCCUUUUGCACCAAAAUAUCUCUUUAAGUCUAAAUUAUCCACUUUUUUUUUUAAUUCUUCGUAGAGAUAGAGGUUUCGCUUUGUUGCCCAGGCUGUUCUUGACUUCCUAACUUCAAGCAAUCCUUCUGCCUCAGCCUCCCAGAGUGCUGGGAUUAUAGGCAUUUGCCACCGUGCCUGGUGUACCCAGUUUCUGUUAUCAACAGAAUGCAGUGGUGUAUGGUUGCUAAAGGGUCCCAAGAUCAGGACCUACGUUAAGGUGGAUUUUGAAUUAUUUAAAAUUCUGAUUUUGUUUUAUUUUUAAUUAAUCUUUGGGGGAAGGAUGGGAGGGGGGUGAGGGUUGAAGAAGUAAACAUUGUACCUAUUGGAUACAAUGUUUAAUAUUUGUGUGAUGGGCACACUGGAAGCCCAAACCUCACUAUUACACAAUACAUUCAUGUAACAAGCCUGCACAUGCACCUCCUGAAUCUAUUUUUAAAAAUUUAAUUCUCUAGCACAGACUCCCUUUUUUUGGUAAGAUGGCGGGGUACGACUUAACUACUCGCAUCACGCACCUUUUGGAUCGGCAUCUAGUCUUUCCGCUCCUUGAGUUUCUCUCUGUAAAGGAGAUAUAUAAAGAAAAGGAAUUAUUACAAGGUAAAUUGGACCUUCUUAGUGAUGCCAACAUGGUAGACUUUGCUAUGGAUGCAUACAAAAACCUUUAUUCUGAUGAUAUUCCUCAUGCUUUGAAAGAGAAUAGAACCACAGUUGUUGCACAACUGAAACAGCUUCAGGCAGAAACAGAACUAAUUGUGAAAAUGUUUGAAGAUCCAGAAACGACAAGGCAAAUGCGGUCAACCAGGGAUGGUAGGAUGCUCUUUGACUACCUGGCGGACAAGCAUGGUUUUAGGCAGGAGUAUUUAGAUACAUUCUACACAUAUGCAAAAUUCCAGUAUGAAUGUGGGAAUUACUCAGGAGCAGCAGAAUAUCUUUAUUUUUUCAGAGUGUUGGUUCCAGCAACAGACAGAAAUGCUGUAAGUUCACUCUGGGGAAAGCUGGCCUCUGAAAUCUUAAAGCAGAAUUGGGAUGCAGACAUGGAAGACCUUACAUGGUUAAAAGAGACCAUAGAUAAUAAUUCUGUGAGUUCUCCACUCCAGUCUCUUCAGCAGAGAGCAUGGCUCGUUCACUGGUCUCUGUUUUCUUCAAUCACCCCAAAGGUUGUGAUAAUAUUGUUGAUCUCUUCCUUUACCAGCCACAGCAUCUUAAUGUGUCCACACAUUCUUCACUAUUUGACUACAGCAGUCAUAGCAAACAAGGAUGUUCGAAAACGUUGGCAGGUGCUAAAAGAUCUAGGUAAAGUUACUCAACAGGAGUCUUACACAUAUAAAGACCCAAUUACAGAAUUUGUUGAAUGCUUAUAGAUUAACUUUGACUUAGAUGGGGCUAAGAAAAAGCUGAGAGAAUGUGAAUCAGUGCUUGUGAACGACUUCUUGGUGGCUUGUCUUAAGGAUUUCAUUGACAAUGCCCAUCUCUUCAUAUUUGAGACUUUCUGUCACAUCCACCAGUGUAUCAGCAUUAACAUGUUGGCAGACAAAUUGAACAUGACUCCAGAUGAAACUGAAAGGUGGAUUGUAAAUGUGAUUAGAAAUGCAAGACUGGAUGCCAAGAUUGAUUCUAAAUUAGGUCAUGUGGUUAUGGUAACAAUGUACUCUCACCCUAUCAGCAAGUGAUUGAAAAGACCAAAAGCCUUUCUUUUAGAAGCUAGAUUUUGGCCAUGAAUAUUGAGAAGAAACUUAAUGACAAUAGCAGGUCAGAGGCUCCUAACUGGGCAACUCAAGAUUCUGGCUUCUACUGAAGAAACAUAAGGAAAAGAUUUUAAAAAAACUCUAAAAGAAAGAUGAAAUAAUAAAACUAUUAUAUAAAGGGUGACUUACAUUUUGGAAACAACAUAUUGAGUGUAAAUUGUGAAGAAUUGGAAUAAAAUUGACUGAUUCAAAAAAAUUUAAUUCACAAAAAAAUUUUAAUCCUUUUAAGCUAAUUAUAGAUUCACAUGUAGUUGUAAGAAGUUACAAAGAGGCUAGGUGCAGUAGCUGACGCCCAUGAUCCCCGCACUUUGGGAGGCCGAGGCAGGCAGAUCUCUUGAGGCCAGGAGUUUGAGACUAGCCUGGCCAACAUGGCAAAACCCCAUCUCUACAAAAAAUUAGCAAAGCAUGGUGGCACAUGCCUGUAAUUACAGCUACUUGGGAGGCUGAGGCAUGAGAAUCACUUGACCUGGGAUUACAAGUGUAAUCCCAGCCAUAGGCUGGGUGCAGUGGCUCACACCUGUAAUCCCAGCACUUUGGGAGGCCAAGGUACGGGUGGAUCACCUGAGGUCAAGAGUUCAAGACCAGCCUGGCCAACAUGGUGAAACCCCGUCUCUACAAAAACACAAAAAUUAGCCGGGCAUGAUGGUGCGCACCUGUAAUCCCAGCUACUCAGGAGGCUGAGGCAGGAGAAUCGCAUGAACCCAGGAGGCAGAUGUUGCAGUGAGCCAAGAUCACGCCAUUGCACUCCAGCCUGGGCAACAGAGUGAGACUCCACCUCAAAAAAAAAAAAACAAAAAAAAACCACCAGCCAUUUGGGAAGCCAAGGCAGGAUUGCUUGAGACCAACCAGAAGUUCAAGGUUGCCUGGGCAACAGAGCAAGACUGUCUCGAGACAAAACAAAAAGUCAGCAUCUUCUGCCCACUUUUACUUUAACAUACAUUUAUGGAUCUAUUGUCUCUUUCCCUGUUCUAAAACUUUAAAUUUCACAAGAAUGAAGAUUUUGCUGUCUUGUUUCCUGCUGUGUCCCCAGCAUAAACAGCAUAAAGAAGUGCCAUAAGAUAGAAAUUUUUGUUUUCUGUUCACCAGUAUAUCCACAGCACCUAGAACAGCAUCUGCUUUAGACUUAUUAGAUGAAGACUUAAAAAAAAAAGGAACAGCACUUCUGCACAUAUUUAGCACUUGAUACAUAUUUGUGGAAUAAUUUCUAUCAUAACUAGCAGCUACUUCCUAAUUUGAUAUGUAGCAUCCCGUAUUAACAGGACUUUUGUGAAUGGAGAGGACAUCUAUUUAUUCUUUGUUAUGUGCCAAAUAUAUUUGUAUUAAUCAUAACUCUUAAUAUUCCUUUAAAAUUAAAUAAUUGUUUCCACAGCUCUUAAAAUAGAAUUUAGGAACCUAGCAACAUGCCACUCAUCCAUUAACAGUGAUAAAUUAUUUAAUUUUAUAAACUUUUCAUUAAAGUAACUGAUAUAGUUUGGA
rnacentral:lncRNA from 1 species